AUGAACAUGACUGGGAGGCACACUUCAUGCUCUUACCAGCUCCUGAGAAUGGAAAUGUACUUCAAAAAGGAAGCCAUGAAGUCAGAUGUCCACUACUCAUCCUCAAUAGGCCUUGGAGAUCUGUGUGCAGCAUUGGAGGCAAUGUCUUGCUUAUUCCCUAAACUAGUCUGCUGCCCUCAAGAGGACACUGUGUUAUUACUUUUUGAAAUACUGUUCAACUGUCAGUAGAAUUAGGUUCUACACAUGGAAUUUGGAAGGUGGAUUUCCAUCUUGUUUUUUGCCUUAGCUAGACUUUGGCCACUCUUGUUUUGUUUUGUUUUUUGGUCCUACAUCUAUUGUUAAACACACAAAUACCCUAAAUGCCAAAUAUGUGCAAGUCAACCCUAAAUAUCUACAUAAAGAUUUUACAUAUAUAUAGAAACAUUAAACACAAUACAAGGAUUCGCCAUGGUUUUUAGUGCUUCGUAUUUUGAAAUAAACGUGCAUUUGCCACUAUGCAAUUCAUGGUACUCAUCUGAACCAAUAUGAAUAUUGACAAGGAAUUUAUCUGGAGAACUACAUAAUUCUCACGUUGAUCUACAGUAUCCAUGCUGCUUAAUUUAGAGAGAAAGAAUAACCUUCAGUACCCAUUACUGCUCAGACUACUGGCUGUUGAUGAUGCUGUUUCUAUGUAAUUGUCUUGUUGUAAUGUUGAUUUUAUUGAGACAGGUUUUAAUCUAUGUUUGGUUUUAAUCUUUGUUGGAUUGGGCUUGUCCCCAUGUAAGCUGCCCCAAAUCCCUUCGGGGAAAUGGAGGUGGGAUAUAAAAAUAAAGUUAUUAUUAUUAUAUUAUCAACCUCAAAAUGGAUAUAAUUCCUGUCAUCCCCUACCACUGGUUAUCCUGACUUAUUCCAGGAGGCAUUGAUGGGACAUCUGAAACACUACAAGCCCCUUAAACAUACAGUCUGAGUAACCUUCUGAUAAUGAUUAUGAAAAUGGAACCUGUGGGCUGUAUUUAUUCUAUACCACAGCUACUAUAACCCCCAGGUCAGUGAUACUUCUGCUUUAUAAAACACCACAUUCUCAGACACACACACACACACACAAACCUAGGGCUCAGAAGAUCAGAGUAUAAUAGCAAUAUGCUGAAACCCUUUUCAAUGAUUCAUAAUUUUCAUUAAUAGUAAUUAUGCUUUCACCACACUCAGAACUCUGGAGAAUGUGACAGACUUGGUUCCUAAGCUAUCUUUCUUGCUGUGGAGAUAUGUUUUACUUUCUCCUGGGGAAAGAACAGAUGGAAAAUAAAGAAAUCCCAGCAGGUGUUUGCGUACAGUCUGUCAUGUUAGCUCAAUGACAAUAAUUGGCAGGAUUGUGGGCGAGAGGGAAGGAGGAAACUCUAGCAGGGGGGAAAGGCAACAAUCUCUAAGAGAGCUUCAGAUUGUUUGAGACAGAUUUUACUUCUUGCAGUGCACAUGCAUCACUUUGGUUUCCCUCUGGUCAAAUAGUUUUUGCUUGUUUUAAAGGCAUCAACAAUGGAAGACCAAUUGAACCUGCUUGCCAGAGACAAAAGGGAGAGGACUGAAUUCAUCACAAGCAAUAACUCACUUGUCACUUUGUUCUCUCUGAGAAAAAAGGGACCGUCUUUCUCCAACCUAUGGUAAAUUUCAAAGGACACUAAAGAAUGCCAACCAUUUCCAGAAAUAAUUCAAGAGAAUUAUCAAGAUAACUAGCAAAUCGGGUAAAUUGGCUGCUGAAACUCUUAACUGGAAGGUGCCUUCCAUUAUACAUACAUGCAGAAAUGGAUUGAUCCUAGCAGGCCCGUAGCCAGGAUUUUGAUUCGGGGGGGGGGGGGGUGCUGAGUCUGGGUGGGAGAGGAUCUACCCUAGCAAACCUUUUGUAUCGUUAUCCCAAUAUCCCCAUGCAUAUGGGAUAUAUUGAGCAUGGUGCACUUUUUUUUGUUUGUUUUGUUUUUUGGUUUUUUGGGUUUUUGUUCCUGUCUUUGUUUCUUCCCUCCCCUUUUUCUCCUUUUUUCUUUUUUAAUUAUUUAUGUAUUAAAAUUUUUUCAAUAAAAAUGAUUUUAAAAAAUAUCCCCAUGCAUAUGGGAUAUAUUGAGGGUGGUGAUCGGAUCAUGAUAUGAAUAAACAUAACAGUUUAAAUAAUAAAUGUAAGGCCUUCUUGCGGACCACUCUGAGAAUUUCGGGGGGGGGGGGGCUUGAGGGGCUACAUGCCUGUCUGUUCUAGUCAUUUUAGAACAGUAAAUGAAAGGUCACAAGUUAGUAAUAGAUUACAUGUUUUGGAAAAAUAGAUAUUGGGUUUCAGCUCCUGACAUCUUCAUAUGAAGCUUGUUAGAUAAGAGAUGAUGGGAAUGAUCUCUCCUUGAAAUCCUGGCUCAUUUCAUGCAUAUUCAUGCAUGUACUCAUGCAUAUUUGGAUUUUAUGAAUGGAGAGUGGUGACAACCACAUCUUAAUGUCUGAAGAUAGCACAUUAAAUAGGAUGAAACUAUAUUUCUUUCUGAUAUUAUAUAAUGUCUUACCUUUCGGACAAACUGUGGAAAAUUGCUGCUGUUCCUGGCAGGAAGACCCAAUAAUGGGCGAGUGAAGGUAUCCAGAGAUGAGGCAUGACCAACAAGUAGGAUGAUGCCUAUUGUCAGAGACAUAGUAUCUUAGAACAGCACAUAAAAAGUUCUUUAGCACCAGUUGCAAUUGAUCUUACCAAUCAAAAAGUGGCAGUUUGAAGUCUGUGGUCGGGGUGGAGC
ensembl:lncRNA